AAUAGAUACCCAGGUAGUCCACGCCGUAAACGAUGAGUGCUAAGUGUUAGAGGGUUUCCGCCCUUUAGUGCUGCAGCUAACGCAUUAAGCACUCCGCCUGGGGAGUACGGCCGCAAGGCUGAAACUCAAAGGAAUUGACGGGGGCCCGCGACAAGCGGUGGAGCAUGUGGUUUAAUUCGAAGCAACGCGAAGAACCUUACCAGGUCUUGACAUCCUCUGCCAACCCUAGAGAUAGGGCGUUCCCCUUCGGGGGACAGAGUGACAGGUGGUGCAUGGUUGUCGUCAGCUCGUGUCGUGAGAUGUUGGGUUAAGUCCCGCAACGAGCGCAACCCUUGAUCUUAGUUGCCAGCAUUCAGUUGGGCACUCUAAGGUGACUGCCGGUGACAAACCGGAGGAAGGUGGGGAUGACGUCAAAUCAUCAUGCCCCUUAUGACCUGGGCUACACACGUGCUACAAUGGAUGGUACAAAGAGUUGCGAACCCGGCGAGGGUAAGCCCGAAUCUCAUAAAGCCAUUCUCAGUUCGGAUUGUAGG
rnacentral:rRNA from 1 species